rnacentral:rRNA from 1 species
AAACUAACAAGGAUUCCCCUAGUAACUGCGAGUGAAGCGGGAAAAGCUCAAAUUUAAAAUCUGGCGGCUUUGGUCGUCCGAGUUGUAUUCUAGAGAAGUGUUUUCCGCGUUGGACCGUGUAUAAGUCUCUUGGAAUAGAGCGUCAUAGAGGGUGAGAACCCCGUCUUUGACACGGACUACCAAUGCUUUGUGAUACACUCUCAAAGAGUCGAGUUGUUUGGGAAUGCAGCUCAAAAUGGGUGGUAAAUUCCAUCUAAAGCUAAAUAUUGGCGAGAGACCGAUAGCGAACAAGUACCGUGAGGGAAAGAUGAAAAGCACUUUGGAAAGAGAGUUAAACAGUACGUGAAAUUGCUGAAAGGGAAACGCUUGAAGUCAGUCGCGUUAGCUAGAACUCAACCAGGCUUGCUUGGCGUAUUUUCUAGUUAACGGGCCAGCAUCAGUUUUGACCGCAGGAAAAGGGCCAGGGAAAUGUGGCAUCUUCGGAUGUGUUAUAGUCUCUGGUCGUAUACUGUGAUUGGGACUGAGGACCGCAGCACGCGCAAGCUGUGCUUAGGAUGCUGGCGUAAUGGCUUUAAACGACC